UUUAAAGGUUUUUUUCAAUUUUUUUUAUUACCUUUAUUCAGAUAAAUAAAAUAACUUAUGACUCAAGUAUUUUUAUCAGAACAAAGUGAUUGAAUGACAAUGGCAAUCGAUGACAAAUUAAUUACCGUUUGUCUAAAGUGAACUUAAUAACGUUAUAAAGUUUGCAUGAAAAAUAUGUAAUCUUAUUGCAGUGUAGCAAAAUUGUCUUUAAAAGAAGCGGAAAAAAUUGAAACAUAGACAUAUAUUUAAGCUGAAUAUUAGUUACUUUUUUUUAUGCAAGCAAAAGUAGGGUGAAACGAAGUUGCAUUCAAAAAAUAAGAAGAACUUCUUCGGAUACUGAGUAAAUUACAAAACGCUACUUGCAACACUAAACACAAACUGCUAAAGCUUUCGGAUAAUCUUCGUGGCUCAUGAGUUAUCAAGUAA